AACGCAUAUUGCGGUCGAGGCUUCUGCCGAGACCAUGUCUGCCUCAGCGUCGGGUUUAUAUCACUCCCCUUGUUGUGUAAACACAACAAGGGAGUGGACCUGGCCGUUCCAGUUAAGCCUUGCCUUUACCUUCAACAAGUAUGGGCAAACCGAGCUCUGGAUCGGCUGAAGAUCAGAGUUCUGACCGAGGACCCGCCAAGGGCCGCAACUGGGUGGGCAUUAUUUCCAAUGCUGAAGCUUUAGUUGUUGGCCUGGGAUUUCGGCCUUGAGACCUCAAACAGGAAAACCCACAACUUAUAUUCUCGACCUGAGCUCAGGCAAGAACACCCGCUGAACUUAA
rnacentral:misc_RNA from 1 species